UCCGAGUUGACCCCGGCAGUCUCCCAUGAGUCCCCGCCACUACGCGCUGGCAACAUGGAACGAGGGUUGCGCUCGUUGCGGGACUUAACCCAACAUCUCACGACACGAGCUGACGACAGCCAUGCACCACCUGUACACCGGCCACAAGGGGGGCCGUAUCUCUACGGCUUUCCAGUGCAUGUCAAGCCCAGGUAAGGUUCUUCGCGUUGUAUCGAAUUAAACCACAUGCUCCACCGCUUGUGCAGGCCCCCGUCAAUUCCUUUGAGUUUCGGUCUUGCGACCGUACUCCCCAGGCGGAGUGUUUCACGCGUUAGCUUAGGCACUGCCCCUAGAACGGGGCAACACCGAGCAUCCAUCGUUUACGGCGUGGACUAC
rnacentral:misc_RNA from 1 species